rnacentral:rRNA from 1 species
UACAGAGGGUGCAAGCGUUAAUCGGAAUUACUGGGCGUAAAGCGUGCGUAGACGGUUGCGUAAGUCAGAUGUGAAAGCCCCGGGCUCAACCUGGGAAUUGCAUUUGAGACUGCGUAGCUAGGGUGCGGAAGAGGGAAGCGGAAUUUCCGGUGUAGCGGUGAAAUGCGUAGAUAUCGGAAGGAACACCAGUGGCGAAAGCGGCUUCCUGGUGCCAGCACCGACGUUCAGGCACGAAAGCGUGGGGAGCAAACAGGAUUGAGACGU